rnacentral:rRNA from 1 species
CAAGACCUGCGCUUUUGGAGCGGCCGAUGCCUGAUUAGCUUGUUGGUAAGGUAAAAGCUUACCAAGGCUUCGAUCAGUAGCUGGUCUGAGAGGACGGCCAGCCACACUGGGACUGAGACACGGCCCAGACUCCUACGGGAGGCGGCAGUGGGGAAUUUUGGACAAUGGGGGCAACCCUGAUCCAGCCAUGCCGCGUGAGUGAAGAAGGCCUUCGGGUUGUAAAGCUCUUUCAGCCGGAACGAAACGGUUACGGUUAAUAUCCGUGACUACUGACGGUACCGGAAGAAGAAGCACCGGCUAACUACGUGCCAGCAGCCGCGGUAAUACGUAGGGUGCGAGCGUUAAUCGGAAUUACUGGGCGUAAAGCGUGCGCAGGUGGUUUUGUAAGUCAGAUGUGAAAGCCCCGGGCUCAACCUGGGAACU